UACGUAGGGUGCGAGCGUUAAUCGGAAUUACUGGGCGUAAAGGGUGCGCAGGCGGUCCCGCAAGUCAGGCGUGAAAUCCCCGGGCUUAACCUGGGAAUUGCGAUGGAGACUGCAAGGCUAGAAUCUGGCAGAGGGGGGUAGAAUUCCACGUGUGGCAGUGAAAUGCGUAGAUAUCGGGAGGAACACCAGUGGCGAAGGCGGCGACCUGGGCCAAUACUGACGCUGAGGUGCGAAAGCGUGGGGAGCAAACAGG
rnacentral:rRNA from 1 species